UAACGAAUCUUCCGCAAUGCGCGAAAGCGUGACGGAGCAAUGCCGCGUGCAGGAUGAAGCCCUUCGGGGUGUAAACUGCUGUCAGGGUUCAGCAACACAAUGAGCAGAUCCAAAGGAAGAGCCGACUAACUCUGUGCCAGCAGUCGCGGUAAUACAGAGGGCUCGAGCGUUGCGCGGAGUCACUGGGCUUAAAGCGUACGUAGGCGGGCGUGCAGGCAUCGUGUGAAAUCCCCCGGACUCAACCGGGGAACUGCUCGGUGAACCGCACGUCUUGAGGUCAGUAGGGGCGGUCGGAACGAUAGGUGGAGCGGUGAAAUGCGUAGAUAUCUAUCGGAACGCCGAAGGUGAAGACAGGCCGCUGGGCUGAUUCUGACGCUGAGGUACGAAAGCGUGGGGAGCAAA
rnacentral:rRNA from 1 species